UGGAUGUCUAGUGUCCCUUAUGGCUCUAAUAUGAUAAUGGCAGUAGGGUGGUGGAUGUCUAGUGUCCCUUAUGGCUCUAAUCUGAUAAUGGUAGUGGGGUGGUAGAUUCCUAGGGUCCCUUAUGGCUCUAAUAGGAUAGUGGUAGUGCGGGGUGGUAGAUUCCUAGUGUACCUUAUGGCUCUAAUCUGAUAGUGGUAGUGGGGUGGUAGAUUCCUAGUGUCCCUUAUGGCUCUAAUCUGAUAGUGGUAGUGGGGUGG
ensembl:lncRNA